UGAGGAAUAUUGGUCAAUGGGCGCAAGCCUGAACCAGCCAUCCCGCGUGAAGGACGAAGGCCCUAUGGGUCGUAAACUUCUUUUAUACACCAAGAAAAAGCAGGACGUGUCCUGCCCCGACGGUAGUGUAUGAAUAAGCAUUGGCUAACUCCGUGCCAGCAGCCGCGGUAAUACGGAGGAUGCGAGCGUUAUCCGGAUUCAUUGGGUUUAAAGGGUGCGUAGGCGGCUUUUUAAGUCAGUGGUGAAAUCUUGCCGCUUAACGGUAAAAUUGCCAUUGAUACUGAUAAGCUUGAGUACAAUUGAGGUAAGCGGAAUGUGUAGUGUAGCGGUGAAAUGCUUAGAUAUUACACAGAACACCGAUUGCGAAGGCAGCUUACUAAACUGUUACUGACGCUGAUGCACGAAAGCGUGGGGAUCAAACA
rnacentral:rRNA from 1 species